UUCUUACUGGGACAAUAAUUUGCUGAAGUCGCAUCAUGCUGCAGUGAGGAAAGACUUGAGUCCAGUAAUUGAGUCUCCCCUUGCGGGCCAUUAGAAAGAAUGCACGUUUAUUGGCACCUAUGAAUUUGCUUCACUUUUGGAAACAGAGAUCACGCCCACAUUUUACACACAGUCCAUGAUCCCCAUUGUGUAGUUUAACCGCAGACUGACAGUUGACCACUCAGCCAACCAGCUGAAGAUGCUGCAGCUAGCUGCAUUGCUUAAUGCAGGCACCUCAUUGGUUGAUAACAGCUCAUGCAGCUUCUGCAGUUAUCAGUUUACCUGCACACUUUAUUUGACCCAAUGUGGUCUGACAUUAUCUCAUAAUUUGUUUUUUCCCCAGUUUCCAGUUUUAGAAGCUUUUACUGAAGAAGAAAAAUAUAUCUGAGUCAUUUCAGAACUCUGAUCUUUCAAAUGUUUCCAGAUCUGUUGAUCUCACUGAGAAUAAUUAGCAGGAAAUAGUUUCUCGGACAAAGCCAAAGCUGCAGUGGAUCCCCAGUUUCCCACUAAAAGCUUAAUAAACUGGAAAUUAAAAUGUGUCAGCACUAGACAACGCAUUGUAAAGCACUCAGGCUUCAGAGAGUUAGGACAUCACCUCAAACACGAGGAGCUGCAGGAAAAGGAACUUCUCUACAACAGGAAUCAAGAAUGUGUCUCAAAAAACUGCAUGGAUGAAGAGACUCCUCUUAAGAUUAGUAGAAGGACGAUGCUGAGUCAUCAUUCAGCAGAAAGAGUUUAAGACAUGUAUUCACAGGAGUAGAAGAUGCAAAUGUGGAUGACAGAUGGAUAUCAGAGCAGAGCUGAGGCACAUAUGGUGGAAAAGACUAGAUCUAAAAACUCCUGGUGGAUGCAAGAGGAGAGGGAGAAGAAUGAGGGAAAGCACCAUCAGAAUGACAUCACUGCUUGGAUGAGUUGGUUAGGACACACAUUGGAGGAAAAUCUGCAUGUUUUAGCAGCCGGCUAUCACCCCCUAGUGGUGGAGGAUGAGGAGGAAAAGAAAAAGGACAGAGAAGCUUCAUAUCUUCUCUGCUCUGACUGUGCUUCCUGAGCUGCGUCUCCGGGAGUCUGGAGGUCAGGCGCGGUUCAGUUUGCCGGAGUGACAGACUGUUUGGACUUCCUAACAUUGUGCCUGCUGCCUUAAAGUUUUGUUUCAUAACACUGAGGGCCUCAUUCGAUCUGCAGUCAGGCCCUGAAACCUGCCUGCAUGGUGUGCACCUGGUCCAAAUGUAAAGCAGAGAAUAAAAAAAGGCUGCGUACAAACACGGAGGAUGCGCGUCAUGAAAACAAGGAUGUCAACAAUAUGAGGAUGCUGUCUGGGCGGAUUACAACCAUGUGACUGCCCCGCAGACAGGUGUGCUGUUCCGGUGUUUCUCCUGCAGGUUGCAGCAUUGUCCCUGAAAACAACCGAGGCUCACCUGUCACCUGUCAGACAGAGCCGAGCGCAGACCUCAGAGCGGUGUGCUUUUGAUGCACAGCUGUGGCAUAGAUGACAAAAAUAUGCGUAUGCAAGUGGGGUGUAGGGAACAGGCCCGCAUUCAGGGUACAUUCAGAAUAAAAACAUUAGGAAAACAUGAA